rnacentral:rRNA from 1 species
UACGGAGGGUGCAAGCGUUAAUCGGAUUUAUUGGGCGUAAAGAGCACGUAGGCGGAGCGGAAAGUUAGAUGUGAAAUCCUGGGGCUCAACUCCAGGCCCGCAUCUAAAACUCCCACUCUAGAGGAUGGACGGAGAAAGGGGAAUUCCACGUGUAGCGGUGAAAUGCGUAGAUAUGUGGAAGAACACCAGUGGCGAAGGCGCCUUUCUAGUUUAUUCCUGACGCUGAGGUGCGAAAGCAAGGGGAGCAAAC